UGAACGCUGGUGGCGUAGCUUAAUACAUGCAAGUCGAACGAACGAGCCCUAACCGAAGAUGAUGACGUGCUUGCACUGAAUCUGAUUCGACCUUAGGGUACUGAGUGGCGGACGGGUGAGUAACGCGUGGGUAACCUGCCUUAGACAGGGGGAUAACAUCAAGAAAUUGGUGCUAAUACCGCAUAUGCUCACAGUAUCGCAUGAUACAGUGAGGAAAACUCCGGUGGUCUAAGAUGGACCCGCGUCUGAUUAGCUAGUUGGAGGGGUAACGGCCCACCAAGGCGACGAUCAGUAGCCGACUUGAGAGAGUGAUCGGCCACAUUGGGACUGAGACACGGCCCAAACUCCUACGGGAGGCAGCAGUAGGGAAUAUUGCACAAUGGGGGAAACCCUGAUGCCAGCGACACCGCGUGAAGGAUGAAGUAUUUCGGUAUGUAAACUUCUAUCAGCAAGGAAGAAAAUGACGGUACUUGACUAAGAAGCCCCGGCUAAAUACGUGCCAGCCGCAGC
rnacentral:rRNA from 1 species